rnacentral:lncRNA from 1 species
UAAUUAUUCUGCACCUUCCAAACCAAAGUCAAAACAGAGACUUCACUUCACCACACCCAACUCAAAUCAACCUAGAUCAUAGGCAUUUUUUAAAUAGUAAAGGAAGAAGAGUUUUCUAGAGCUUGGAAUAAAAGAGAGGGGAAAGGUUUUAAAACCUAUGCAAUCCCAAGGUUGAUCCUACUAGCACAAGGCACACUUCACACAAGGUCAUAACUCACAUCACCACAUAAGAUCACAUGAAAUCACAUGACUCAAAGCAACAAC